UAAUAUCUUAUGCAUUAUAGGCUCUAUUGAAAAUAAUAAGGAUGAUGUAAAUACACCAGAAUUUAAAAUUAAACACCUAGUCAUAGUUUUAACUAAAUUAAAAUUGCCAGUACAAACCACUUUGGAUAUACCCAAACGUAGGAGGGAAGAAAAUGAUCUUGAUACACUCAUUUAUAUACCCAAAGACCAUAUAAAAUCACUACCUAGUACAAAUUUAGAUAUAUCAAGUAUUACAUUUAAUAAAAAUGAUGAUAGUCAACAAAAUGAACACACCAAAUCACUAAUUAAUAUAGAAAAUCAAAAUUUUAAUGAUGAACUUGAUAUCAUAAGCAACAAUUUACCACCCACAUCAGAAAAUCAAAAUUUUAAUGAUGAACUUGAUACCAUAAGCAACAAUUUACCACCAAC